AUAGAUUAGAACCAUAAACUAUUUGCAGUGUUGAGUCAUUUCCCACAGUUAAAAUCAGGAUGAAAAUAUAUAGCUGAAUACUUGCUUUGUUUCUUGUAACUGAUUUCUUUAGUACAGAACCUGCUAAGGCCAUCAAACCUAUUGAUCGGAAGUCAGUCCAUCAGAUUUGCUCUGGGCAGGUGGUACUGAGUCUAAGCACUGCGGUGAAGAAGAUAGUAGAAAACAGUCUGGAUGCUGGUGCCACUAAUAUUGAUCUAAAGCUUAAGGACUAUGGAAUGGAUCUCAUUGAAGUUUCAGGCAAUGGAUGUGGGGUAGAAGAAGAAAACUUUAAAGGCUUAAUGAUGUCACCAUUUCUACCUGCCACGUAUCGGCGAAGGUUGGGACUCGACUGGUGUUUGAUCACGAUGGGAAAAUCAUCCAGAAAACCCCCUACCCCCACCCCAGAGGGACCACAGUCAGCGUGAAGCAGUUAUUUUCUACGCUACCUGUGCGCCAUAAGGAAUUUCAAAGGAAUAUUAAGAAGGUACAGUAAAUUAAUCCUGGUUUUCAAGAGUAUUGGUUAAUGCACAUGAGCAAAAGAUUUACUAAAGAUGUUUAUUCUUCAGUUGAUUCUCUUCCCAUAAUUUAUUGAGAAAUGCUUUAUUUGCAUUUCUCAUUAAAGACUUAACUUCAGGAUGAUUUACUUUUUUCUUUUUAUCACAUAAUGUUUAUUAGGACUGGGAAACAUAGUGAGACUCUGUCUCUAUGAAAAAUUAAAAAAAAAAAUUGACUGGGCAUGGUGGCAUGCACCUGUAGUUCCAGCUACUUGGGAGGCUGAAGUGGGAGGAUCACCUGAGCUCAGGAACUUGAGACUGCAGUGAGCUAUGAUUGCGUCACUACACUUCAGACUGUGAGACAGAGUAAGACCCUGUCUGGAAAAAUAUAUAUACAUAUAUAUACAUUUUUUUUAUUUUUUAUUUUUAUCUUUUUUUGAGAUGGAGUCUCACUUUGGCGC
rnacentral:lncRNA from 1 species